AAAGUCGUAACAAGGUUUCCGUAGGUGAACCUGCGGAAGGAUCAUUAACACGUAUCCAACGUUAAAACCCCCCUGUGAACCUUCAGUGUGCUCGUACAUUUCGUUAGAAAGUUGGGGUAUCUGGUAAAUCAUUGCCGAACAGUAUUGAUUCAGAAACCUUUGCAAGAAGUGUGCUUGUAGCGCGAGGCAAGUGGCCUGGCAUUCCUCUGCAUAGUUGACUUAAUUGUGCGGCCACCAAACUCGAACAACUGUUAACAAUGGAUAUCUUGGUUCUC
rnacentral:misc_RNA from 1 species